rnacentral:rRNA from 1 species
AACGAACGCUGGCGGCAUGCCUAACACAUGCAAGUCGAACGAGACCUUCGGGUCUAGUGGCGCACGGGUGCGUAACGCGUGGGAAUCUGCCCUUGGGUUCGGAAUAACUCGCCGAAAGGCGUGCUAAUACCGGAUGAUGACGUAAGUCCAAAGAUUUAUCGCCCAAGGAUGAGCCCGCGUUGGAUUAGCUAGUUGGUGAGGUAAAGGCUCGCCAAGGCGACGAUCCAUAGCUGGUCUGAGAGGAUGAUCAGCCACACUGGGACUGAGACACGGCCCAGACUCCUAAGGGAGGGAGCAGUGGGGAAUAAUGGACAAUGGGCGAAAGCCUGAUCCAGCAAUGCCGGGUGAGGGAUGAAGGGCUUAGGGUUGUAAAGCUCUUUUACCCGGGAUGAUAAUGACCGUACCGGGAGAAUAAGCUCCGGCUAACUCCGUG